UGCUCUUGAACUUCCAGUCUCCAGAACUCUCCUCUUCCUAAGAUGUCAUUCAGGUACAUGGUGGGUGAAGAGUGUGGCACGCAUGUCUCCAUGAUGUGGGUACAAGAGGGUCUGCAGCCUGGCAUAGUUCUUCAGGAUUUUGAUCUUCUGAAAAUCGGGAUCUAUAACAUAUCCUUUACUUUUGUUUUAUUUUCUGAUCCAGUACCUAAUGAAUACCUACCAGACAAUGGGUAUUAUUAGACAAUGUUUGAUGAUUAAAUAAAU